AUUGAACGCUGGCGGCAGGCUUAACACAUGCAAGUCGAGCGAGCGGCGGACGGGUGAGUAAUGUAUGGGAAACUGCCUGAUGGAGGGGGAUAACUACUGGAAACGGUAGCUAAUACCGCAUACCAUCAGAUGUGCCCAGAUGGGAUUAGCUAGUAGGUGGGGUAAUGGCUCACCAAGGCGACGAUCCCUAGAUGGUCUGAGAGGAGGACCAGCCACCCUGUAGCUGAGACGCGGUCCAGUGUCCUACGGUAGGCAGCAGUGGGGAAUAUUGCACAAUGGGCGCAAGCCUAGUGCAGCCAUGCCGCGUGUGUGAAGAAGGCCUUCGGGUUGUAAAGUACUUUCAGCGGGGAGGCGUUACCCGCAGAAGAAGCACCGGCUAACUCCGUGCCAGCAGCCGCGGUAAUUC
rnacentral:rRNA from 1 species